AGGACGAACGCUGGCGGCGUGCGUUAACACAUGCAAGUCGAGCGGAAAGGCCCUUCGGGGUACUCGAGCGGCGAACGGGUGAGUAACACGUGAGUAAUCUGCCCUUAGCUCUGGGAUAGCUCCGGGAAACCGGGAUUAAUACCAGAUACGACUACUUUAGACAUCUUCUGUGGUGGAAAGAAUUUCGGCUAGGGAUGAACUCGCGGCCUAUCAGCUUGUUGGUGAGGUAACGGCUCACCAAGGCGACGACGGGUAGCCGGCCUGAGAGGGCGACCGGCCACACUGGGACUGAGACACGGCCCAGACUCCUACGGGAGGCAGCAGUGGGGAAUAUUGCGCAAUGGGCGAAAGCCUGACGCAGCGACGCCGCGUGGGGGAUGAAGGCCUUCGGGUUGUAAACCCCUUUCAGCAGGACGAAGCGAAAGUGACGGUACCUGCAGAAGAAGCGCCGGCUAACUACGCGCCAGCAGCCGC
rnacentral:rRNA from 1 species